rnacentral:lncRNA from 1 species
GAUUUUAUAAUGCGAUAUCCCAGGACAAUGUAUCGCCGACCCUUUCUUUUCUACUUAAGCACAUGCGGAAGUAAUUAAAAUCCCCAGACAAUAAAACGAUGGGAUAGAAAAGCAGGGCCAUAUUUUUCAUAUUGAAAUUUAUAACCACACUUUUAUACAAAACACAAACCACUUCGAAACUAUUCACAUCAAAAUGGAGAUCUCAAAAGAAGACAGAAACUUAGACAAACUAGGCCGUACUCAAGGCCUCUCUCAGAAUUGUCUUCUUCUUCCAAAAUCCUUUUCUUCAGAUCUCACCUCCGAGUUCUCCUUCUCGGAUUCCUCCUCCUCAGCUCUUCAGCGGGGUCCUGAAAUGGUUUUCCCCAAACUGGGAUGAGACUACGUCUCAGCGAGUUCUACCCCACUAAGCCCGAUUAGAAAACUAUUAUACUAAAGGCUGCCUAAACACGCACAGGGCAGAGGACUUACCUUGGCCUCAGAUCUCACCUGCAAGUCAGUACAAUUCAUAAUAGGCACCCAAGCAAUCAUAUGACCGAUCGAAGCAUCGAUCAAAUCGACCUAGCCGAUUACAUGCCAAACAAAUCAAUCCCCACUGUGGGAUAUUUAAAAACUAGGCCACGUGUAUUCUCCAGGAUGACCUUCCCAGUCUCCGAGUCACGUGCCUCAAACCUCGGACCCACGUGCAUUCUCUAAGGCGACCUCUUCGCCAAGGUGGUACAUCAAGCCACCGAGCCACGUGUCCUUUUUACGAUGUCCGGGCCCACGUGCAUUCUCUAAGGUGCUAACUCACCAAGGUGAUGCAUCAAUUCACCGAGCCACGUGCCCUUUUAGAUGCCAUUCCGGAAUGCUGGACCCACGUGCAUUCUCUAAGGUACUCGCUUACCAAAGUGACGCAUCAGAUCACCGAGCCACGUGUCCUUUUAGAUGCCAAAUCCUGUCACCGAGCCACGUGCAUUCUCCAGGACGACAUACCGAGUCUCCGAGCCACGUGCAUUCUCUCAGGCGACCUUUUCGCCAAGGUGACAUAUUCAACCACUGAACUCACGUGCAUUUUCCAGGUGACAUUCCAAUUCACCGAGCCACGUGUCCUCUUUGCAGUGGUUACCAGUUCACUUUCAAUAUCGACAACCAAUGCCCAACGAUUUCUCAAUCAAAUAAAUAAAUCAACUCAACAAAACAUUAUAAAUGCUGAAUAAACAUACUUGGCCAUUCACCAAUCAAUACUCAAUCAAAUAAUUAAAUUAACUCAACAAAGCAUUAUAAAUGCUGAAUGAACAUACUUGGCCAUUCACCAAUCGAUAAUUCAAUCUCAAUCGAUUCCAAUCAAUUUAGGGUAAAUCCCUAAAAUAUCACAAUUUAUUCAAUUCCAUACAACGUAGAGCUCAAAUAAAUAAACGAACUGCGCCACGACGAUCAGCACGAGAUUUCGGUCGUCGGCCAUCAAAAUCUUAAUUUCCGAAAAAUAAUUAAUUUAUUUAUUAAUUUCGAAAAUUAAUUAAUUAAUAUUAAAAAUUCAAUUUAGCUCAAAAUAAAGCCCGAUUACAUAAACGGACUUCACCACGGUCAUCAGCACAAUAUUCCGGUUCCGAACCAUCUCCCUUGAAUUUUCGGAAAAUAAAUAAUUAUUUAAUUAAAUUUCGAAAAUUAAUAUUUAAAUACUAAAAUAUCCACUUAGGCCCGAAAAGCCUAAUUGGAGCCCACUAAGGGUCGGGAAAAUUCCCGAAGCACUUCCAAUAAUUAGUAGACCACGUCUACUUGCUAAUUACACAAUCAAUUUAUCUAAAUCACAUCACAAUUGACUAAUAAUUGCUAAUGUAUUCUAAUCUAACAACCUAAACAUAAUUAAUUAAAUCUAAACCAGCUUAAAGCAUAAUUAGCCACUAAUCCUGGAUUAGUGAGAUUACUCACCAAAUCGCACGCAAUUCGGAUCAAUCCGACGGCGGCGACGCGAGGAACGAUUGUUCCCAAAGCACGGCUCGGGUUCGGGGCCGGGAAACGGUCCAAAAGCGGGCCCGAAGUGCUGGAAACCCACUUCGUGGGUCUGCUGGUCGCGGCUGAACGGAGCAGCUCCGGCGGCUAGGGCGGCGGGAGAAGGCUGGCGGAGGGCGAGGGAGUCGCGGGGGAGGUCCGGCGAGGUUGGCGGUGGCCGGAGGCGGCCGGAGAUGGGCGGAACAGCGGCUGGAACAGAAGCGAACGGGGCUGGUUCGCUCGGCCUGGGCGCACGGACGAGCGGCUGGGCGCGGGCGAAGCGCGCGGGUGCGGCACGGGCGGUGCGGCGGCGGGACGGGCGGCGACGGUGCAGCGACGGUGAGCUGCUGUCUCCGUUUUUCUGCUUCUGGUUUUCGCUUGCUUCAGCGUGCGGAGGAAGGAAGAAGAAGAAGAAAGAGAGAGAGAGAGAGAGAGAGAGAGAUAAGGUUGGACCGGUCAAAGAAGAGAGAGGGAAAGUGAGCGGGUGGGGGCUAUUCGCACGAGGGGAAAGGGAAAAAGGGGAGAGGAGAGAGAAAGAAAAAGAAAAAGAAAGAAAAGAAAAGAGAGGGAGAGAGAGGAAAAAGAAAAGGAAAUGUAUAAUUCCUUUAUGCAAAUUUUCCUUUUCUCUUUUCCUUUUCUUUUGGGCUUCAAUUUUUCUUCCGACAAUUUCUUUAAUGAAAUUUCGGACUCGUCAAUAAAUUGACGAGCGAUGAGACAGGAUCCUAAAAUAAGAAUUAUGACGCGCUUAAAAUUCGAUUCCCGAAAUCGAGUUCAAUUUCGUGGUUAAAAAUCGAUCAGACGUGAUUUUAGCUCAAUCCAACCAAUUAGGUAGCUUUUAGGGAUUUUACAGCUGAUACAUCCCUUAACGGCUUCACCCAAUAGGUUAGUUAACUCGUGAGUGAUCAGCUCAGAGAAAAAGGCC